UACGAAGGGGGCUAGCGUUGCUCGGAAUUACUGGGCGUAAAGGGCGCGUAGGCGGGUCGUUUAGUUAGAGGUGAAAGCCCAGGGCUCAACCCCUGGAAUUGCCUUUAAUACUGGCGGCCUUGAGUAUGGCAGAGGUGUGUGGAACUCCGAGUGUAGAGGUGAAAAUUCGUAGAUAUUCGGAAGAACACCAGUGGCGAAGGCGACACACUGGGCCAUUACUGACGCUGAGGCGCGAAAGCGUGGGGAGCAAACAGGG
rnacentral:rRNA from 1 species